rnacentral:ncRNA from 1 species
AAGUGAGGACGACCUCAGCGCUCGAUCAUUGUUAGGGGACGGCCCAA